GCGGGUGUAGCUCAGCGGUAGAGCGUCAGUUUCCCAAACUGAAGGUGGCGGGUUCGACACCCGUUACCCGCU
rnacentral:tRNA from 1 species